UCUCAUCAAGAGCAGCUGAGGGAUUGGCCCAAGGACGCUGCAGCAACCAUCCGUUUUGGACAAGGUGCUAAUUCCAUCAGCUUUUGCUGGCAGAUGAGG
rnacentral:ncRNA from 1 species